rnacentral:lncRNA from 1 species
GGAAGAAUGAGACACCUCUCCUGGCUUCUGAUGUUCCCAUCCCUGAGGAGGAACACCUAUUACUCUAAUACUCCCGCCUCUGUUUCACACCUUUACUCACUUUCCCCAGGAAGACUGUAUAUUAAAGGGUUCAGCAUGGGGAUCACCGUGGUGUAGAACACAGAGGACACCUUCUCCUGGUCCAGGGAGUUACUUGAAGGGGGCUUGAAAUACAUGAAGGUAAUGGACCCAAAGAAGAUCACCACAGCCAUGAGAUGAGAGCUGCAUGUUCCAAAAGCUUUGGACCGGCCCUCUGAGGAGCGGAUGUGAAGGAUGCUGUAGAGGAUGAAGGCAUAGGAGACAGCAACAGCUAGGGUGGGCACCAAGGUGUUAAACCCCGCAAUGAUAAAAAGUAGAAGCUCAUUGAGGUGUGUGUUGGAGCAGGAGAGAUUGAGGAGGGGAAGAACAUCACAGAAGUAAUGGUUGAUAAUGUGGGAUUUGCAAAAGGACAGUUUCAUCAUGGCACUUGUAUGAGUCAAGGCAGAGAGAAAGCCCAAGAAGAAGGCAGCCAGCACUAGCAGUGAGCAGACCCAUGAGGACAUGAUCGCAUUAUAAAGCAGUGGGCUACAGAUGGCAACAUAGCGAUCAUAUGCCAUGGCAGUCAGGAGGUAACCCUCAGCCACCACAAAGACCACAAAGAAAAAGAGCUGGACCAUGCACUCAGAGUAAAGGAUUGUAUUCUUCUUUCCUAGGAAGUUCACCAGCAUUUUGGGAGUAAUGACAGAGGAAUAGCAGAAAUCGACGAAGGACAAGCUGCUGAGGAAAUAGUACAUGGGGGUGUGAAGUAGAGGGCUGACUGCAAUCAGGAGAAUCAUGCCCAGGUUGCCCACUACUGUGACCACAUAGAUUCCCAGGAACAGGAGGAAGAGGGGCAGCUGGAGCUCUGCUUGCUGUGUUAAACCAUCUAAGACAAACUGAGCUGCCAUAGAAUAAUUUUCCAUGGUCAUUCUUCUUUAGGCAUUUCUGUGAAAAUAGAAAGUAUGAAUUACCUUAACAUGGACCCUCACUGCUCUUCCAAACAAAACCAAAUUGCAUAAGGGAGGUUGACAGCAGCUAACAGACUGAGU